rnacentral:rRNA from 1 species
UACGAAGGGUGCGAGCGUUGUCCGGAAUCAUUGGGCGUAAAGGGCGCGUAGGCGGCUCUGCACGUCCGUUGUGAAAUCGCCCGGCUCAACUGGGCGGGGUCAGCGGAUACGGCGGAGCUUGAGCAAGCUAGGGGGCAAUGGAAUUCCCGGUGUAGUGGUGGAAUGCGUAGAUAUCGGGAGGAACACCAGUGGCGAAGGCAGCUCGCUGGAACGGUACUGACGCUGAGGCGCGAAAGCGUGGGGAGCGAACAGG